AUAUCACUAAGCGGAGGAAAAGAAAUUAACUAAGAUUGCCUCAGUAACGGCGAGUGAAGCGGUAACAGCUCAAAUUUGAAAUCUGGCUCUUUCAGGGUCCGAGUUGUAAUUUGUAGAAGAUGCUUUGGGUGUGGUCCGGGUCUAAGUUCCUUGGAACAGGACGUCAUAGAGGGUGAGAAUCCCGUAUGUGACUCGGUACCUUCGCCCGUGUAAAGCUCUUUCGACGAGUCGAGUUGCUUGGGAAUGCAGCUCAAAAUGGGUGGUAAAUUUCAUCUAAAGCUAAAUAUUGGCCAGAGACCGAUAGCGCACAAGUA
rnacentral:rRNA from 1 species